rnacentral:rRNA from 1 species
UGCUUGGAAUAUAUCAAGACGUAGCUUAAACUAAAGCCUCUUAUUUACACUAAGAAAAUAUUUGUUAAACUCAAAUUGUCUUGAGCCUAAAAUCUAGCCCAACUAUCCCUGAUAACAACACAACCCAUUCGCCCCAUAAUAAAUCAUUCAAAAAUUCUAGUACUGGAGAUAGAAAAAAUCAUAAGCGCUUUAGAUAAAGUACCGCAAGGGAAUAAUGAAAUAAAAAUGAAAACUCAAAGCCCGAUAUAGCAGAGUUAACCCCUCGUACCUUUUGCAUAAUGGUCUAGCCAGUUUAACCAAGCAAAAAGAAAUUUAAGUUUGACACCCCGAAACUAAGCGAGCUACUUCAAAACAGCCAUCAUGGGCAAACCCGUCUCUGUCGCAAAAGAGUGGGAAGACUUUUAAGUAGAGGUGAUAAGCCUAUCGAGCUUAGAGAUAGCUGGUUGUUCAGGAAAAGAGUCUUAGCUCUACCUUAAGUUUUUUUAUUUUACACAAAAAACUAAUAAACUUAAGAGCUAUUCAACUAAGGUACAGCUUAUUUGAAACAGGAUACAACCUUCAAUAUUGGGUAAAACAAAGGUAUAAAAACAAAGUAGGCCUAAAAGCAGCCAUCUUAAUAAAAGCGUUACAGCUUCACUUUCUAACUUUAAAUACCUCUAACUUUCACUAACCCCUCACCACUACUGAACUGUUUUAUAUCUUUAUAAAAGUAAUUAUGCUAGAACUAGUAACAAGAAUUUAUUUCUCCUAUAUGUAAGCAUAAACCAACAUGGACAAUCCAUUGGUAUUUAACGUAAAUGUCUCUAUUAUAACAACAUAUACUAGAAAACCCUAUAACCCAAAACGUUAACCUUACACCAGAACAUUACAGGAAAGAUUAAAAGAGAAAAAAGGAACUCGGCAAAUCCCAGCCCCGCCUGUUUACCAAAAACAUCGCCUCUUGAAAAACAUAAGAGGUCCAGCCUGCCCAGUGAUAGAAUUCAACGGCCGCGGUACCCUAACCGUGCGAAGGUAGCAUAAUCACUUGUCCCCUAAAUAGGGACUAGAAUCAACGGCACCACGAAGGCUGUACUGUCUCUUUUCUCCAAUCAGUGAAACUGAUCUCCCCGUGAAAAAGCGGGAAUCAACUUAUAAGACGAGAAGACCCCAUGGAGCUUUAAGUAAAGUAUUCACCCAGACUCUAUUAUACCAACUAAAUAUAGCAACCUUGAUUACUAACCUUAGGUUGGGAGGACCGCGGAGCAUAACUAAACCUCCACAACAAAAAGGUAAUACCUUUAUCUACGAGUUACGACUCUAAGAAUUAAAAUAUUAAUGUCCAAUGACCCGACAAUUCGAUCAACGAACCAAGUUACCCUGGGGAUAACAGCACAAUCUGCUUAAAGAGCCCAUAUCGACAAGCAGGUUUAUGACCUCGAUGUUGGAUCAGGGUGUCCCAGUGGGCAGCCGCUA